ACGAGCGCUGGCGGCGUGCUUAACACAUGCCAGUCGAACGGAAAGGCCCUGCUUUUGUGGGGUGCUCGAGUGGCGAACGGGUGAGUAACACGUGAGUAACCUGCCCUUGACUUUGGGAUAACUUCAGGAAACUGGGGCUAAUACCAGAUAGGAGCUCCUGCUGCAUGGUGGGGGUUGGAAAGUUUCGGCGGUUGGGGAUGGACUCGCGGCUUAUCAGCUUGUUGGUGGGGUAGUGGCUUACCAAGGCUUUGACGGGUAGCCGGCCUGAGAGGGUGACCGGCCACAUUGGGACUGAGAUACGGCCCAGACUCCUACGGGAGGCAGCAGUGGGGAAUAUUGCACAAUGGGCGGAAGCCUGAUGCAGCAACGCCGCGUGCGGGAUGACGGCCUUCGGGUUGUAAACCGCUUUCGCCUGUGACGAAGCGUGAGUGACGGUAAUGGGUAAAGAAGCACCGGCUAACUACGUG
rnacentral:rRNA from 1 species